rnacentral:misc_RNA from 1 species
UCCGAGUUGUCCCCGGCAGUCUCCUUAGAGUCCCCGCCAUUACGCGCUGGCAACUAAGGACAGGGGUUGCGCUCGUUGCGGCACUUAAGCCAACACCUCGCGGCACGAGCUGACGACAGCCAUGCAGCACCUGUGCUAGCCCCUUACGGACACGGGCUUUCACCCGCUUUAACUAGCAUGUCAAGCCUAGGUAAGGUUCUUCGCGUUGCAUCGAAUUAAGCCACAUGCUCCGCCGCUUGUGCGGGUCCCCGUCAAUUCCUUUGAGUUUUAGCCUUGCGGCCGUACUCCCCAGGCGGAGUGCUUAAUGCGUUAGCUGCGGCACAGAGAGGGUUGACGUUACUUACAGCGUAC